rnacentral:lncRNA from 1 species
CUCUUAUGGUAACAAAUAUGUUAACAAGUUUGGGUAGGGUGCAGUCUAUCUCGUUCAUAUGGUAAUUUACUAUAAAUUGAACAUAUAAACUAGUCGAAGAUUGUAGGAUCAGAGCCAAUUGCAAUUCUUUCUGCAUCGUAAGACCGAGCUUCUCAAGCUCCUCUAGAUCCUUGAUCAUUGUCAGACAAUACUUGUGGUGUUGGAAAAUAUGUCCCAAAAGCCAAUCGUCAACCUGUUGACGGUUGAGCAACCUUGUAUUGUAAUUGAUUUGUUAAU